AAUGAUUAUCUACUAGGCCUUGAAACUAAAUCCAGUUUGAUCAAUUAACAAUUUUCUCUAAGGAAAACUCUCACACGUGAAUUGGCCAAUCAACAUCUACAAACAUUGAUCAUACUCUGAUCCAUUGUGUUCACUGCGCUCAUACAACUAAACAAGCAGCCACUUGCACAUACUGUAAUCGCAUAGUACAUCAAAGAAUAAAACGAAGUUCCAGAUAGUUUCAAUUGCUUAUUGCAGAGAAGAAUACUAAC
rnacentral:misc_RNA from 1 species